AUUGAACGCUGGCGGCAGGCCUAACACAUGCAAGUCGAACGGUAACAGGAAGCAGCUUGCUGCUUUGCUGACGAGUGGCGGACGGGUGAGUAAUGUCUGGGAAACUGCCCGAUGGAGGGGGAUAACUACUGGAAACGGUAGCUAAUACCGCAUAACGUCGCAAGACCAAAGAGGGGGACCUUAGGGCCUCUUGCCAUCGGAUGUGCCCAGAUGGGAUUAGCUAGUAGGUGGGGUAACGGCUCACCUAGGCGACGAUCCCUAGCUGGUCUGAGAGGAUGACCAGCCACACUGGAACUGAGACACGGUCCAGACUCCUACGGGAGGCAGCAGUGGGGAAUAUUGCACAAUGGGCGAAAGCCUGAUGCAGCCAUGCCGCGUGUAUGAAGAAGGCCUUCGGGUUGUAAAGUACUUUCAGCGGGGAGGAAGGGAGUAAAGUUAAUACCUUUGCUCAUUGACGUUACCCGCAGAAGAAGCACCGGCUAACUACGUG
rnacentral:rRNA from 1 species